GUGGCAUCAUGAUCAAGUUUCCAGCUCUGAAAAGAAGUGCUGCUUAGUCAGAGGAGGAGAAAGCUGAACAAGGACCCCUCUGUGUAUUGUAUACCCAUCUUUUCAGUAUCUAUGCUGGGGUUGGUGCUGUUAUCAAAGGAGCGAAGCUAAAGACUUUCAAGGCUGCCCUGGUCUACUACUCUUCCUGUAAGAUGGGAAGGAAAUUGACAGCUAACAUGAUCCAGUUAGACUUGCUGUUUAUAUUCGAUUAGAGAUAUUCAAACCUCCAACCAACAGUGACAUUCGCCAUUAAUUUCUUUUAUAAAAGGAGGCUGCCUAAAUCCUGUGAUUUUUUUGUAAUUAUAAUCUUUUGUAUACAAGUUUGGUAUGUUUAUUCUUCAGCACAUCUACCUAUCACUCGUUUUCAUGUUGCAGCAGUAAAAUGCAUUGCGUAAGCGCUCCCUGUUUCUUUGUUAGGCAUUCAUGGCAACCGAGCCGAGCUGACAUUUUCAGUCAGUGCUGGAUGCGUGAAAGAAGUGGAAAAAGGAAGCCAGAAGAAGCGCAUAGUGCGAAAUGGAUGUUGCUUCACCUGGUGGAAUACACCUAAUGUCUGUCUAUUACUGCUGUUUGGUGACA